rnacentral:lncRNA from 1 species
AUGUAAGUCAACAACAUCCUGGGACUGGGACACACUUUCUGGGCACUGCUGGCCAGUCCCAAAAUGGAACAUAAGGAAGUGGUUCUUCUACUUCUUUUAUUUCUGAAAUCAGGUCAAGGAGAGCCUCUGGAUGACUAUGUAAAUGCCCAGGGGGCUUCACUGUUCAGUGUCACUAAGAAGCAGCUGGGGGCAGGAAGCAGAGAAGAAUGUGCAGCAAAAUGUGAGGAGGACAAAGAAUUCACCUGCAGGGCAUUCCAAUAUCACAGUAAAGAGCAACAAUGUGUGAUAAUGGCUGAAAACAAGAAGUCCUCCAUAAUCAUUAGGAUGAGAGAUGUAGUUUUAUUUGAAAAGUAAAUGUAUCUUUCAGAGUGCAAGACUGGGAAUGGAAAGAACUACAGAGGGACGAUGUCCAAAACAAAAAAUGGCAUCACCUGUCAAAAAUGGAGUUCCACUUCUCCCCGCAGACCUAGAUUCUCACCUGCUACACACCCCUCAGAGGGACUGGAGGAAUCCAGACAACGAUGCGCAGGGGCCCUGGUGUUAUACUACUGAUCCAGAACAGAGAUAUGACUACUGCGACAUUCCUGAGUGUGAAGGGCAGGAGUGGCUCUAGAAAAUGUUUUCAUUUCUGCUCUUCACCUGUAAAAUAAUUUGUUGUAAAGCCCCUUCCCACAGGGAUAUUAUUAAUAAUUGCGUAACGUGUUCACCUCUCGGAAAGGAGCAAAACUUUGCUCAGAUCCCAGAAUUAACCUGAUUUUUUUUUUUUUUUCUGAGACAGAAUUUUGCUCUCAUUGCCCAGGCUAGAGUGCAAUGGUGCGAUCUCGGCUCACCACAACCUCCGCCUCCGGGUUCAAGCGAUUCUCCUACCUCAGCCUCCCAAGUAGCUGGAAUUACAUGCAUGUGCCACCAUGCCUGGCUAAUUUUACAUUUUUAGUAGAGACAGGGUUUCUCCAUGUUGGUCAGGCUGGUCUUGAACUCUCGACCUCAGGUGAGCCGCCCGCCUCAGCCUCCCAAAGUGCUGGGAUUACAGGCGUGAGCCACCAUGCCCAGCAGACCUGAAUUAUUAUUAUUAUUAAAAUGUUACAUCAACAUGUACAAAUAUAAAACUACAUCUAAACUCUAAGUACAAACUUCUUAUGCUUAAAACUCUUACACAGUGUUAACCCCAAGACAGAUUUGCAAUUAAGUAGUUAAAAUAAAACAACAAAGUCAAUAAAAAUCAAAUAAACAAUAUACAUUUAAUGUGGUAGACUUUGCUGUUUUGCUGAAGCUAAGCAAGGAACCAGUUUUUAAAUCAGCAAUCCGUUAUUUUAAUGGACUGAGCAAUUUAAUAGUGCACCUCAAAGGUCAAUGCUAAAAACUAAAAAAAAAAUUCCUACUGAAAAAACUGUCAUCAUUUCACAUUUCUGGCUACGUUAGUGCAAAAGGGAAUAAAUAAAGGUGAGAUUUCUGUGACAGUGU